UCAAAUUUUAAGUCUGUUCGACUUUUAAAUUCUUACAUGAUCUGAGUUCAAACCGGUGUAAGCCAGGUUGGUUUCUAUCUUUAAAAAAUUAUGAUAUUUUAGUACGAAAGGACCAAAUAUC
rnacentral:rRNA from 1 species